rnacentral:rRNA from 1 species
UACAGAGGGGGCAAGCGUUGUUCGGAAUUACUGGGCGUAAAGGGCGCGUAGGCGGCCUGUUAAGUCGAACGUGAAAUCCCCGGGCUCAACCCGGGAACUGCGUCCGAUACUGGCAGGCUUGAAUCCGGGAGAGGGAUGCGGAAUUCCAGGUGUAGCGGUGAAAUGCGUAGAUAUCUGGAGGAACACCGGUGGCGGAAGGCGGCAUCCUGGACCGGUAUUGACGCUGAGGCGCGAAAGCCAGGGGAGGCAAACGGG